UACGUAGGGUGCAAGCGUUGUCCGGAAUUAUUGGGCGUAAAGAGCUCGUAGGCGGUUUGUCGCGUCUGCUGUGAAAACCCGAGGCUCAACCUCGGGCCUGCAGUGGGUACGGGCAGACUAGAGUGCGGUAGGGGAGAUUGGAAUUCCUGGUGUAGCGGUGGAAUGCGCAGAUAUCAGGAGGAACACCGGUGGCGAAGGCGGCUAUCUGGCCCAAUAUUGACGCUGAGAUGCGAAAGUGCGGGGAUCAAACAGG
rnacentral:rRNA from 1 species